rnacentral:tRNA from 2 species
GCUAGUGUAGUUUAAUUUAAGAUAUGGCACUGAAGAUGCUAAGAUGAAAAAUAAAACUUUUCCACAAGCA